rnacentral:rRNA from 1 species
UACGAAGGGGGCUAGCGUUGUUCGGCUUUACUGGGCGUAAAGCGCACGUAGGCGGAUCGUUAAGUCAGGGGUGAAAUCCUGGAGCUCAACUCCAGAACUGCCUUUGAUACUGGCGAUCUUGAGUCCGGAAGAGGUGAGUGGAACUCCUAGUGUAGAGGUGGAAUUCGUAGAUAUUAGGAAGAACACCAGUGGCGAAGGCGGCUCACUGGUCCGGUACUGACGCUGAGGUGCGAAAGCGUGGGGAGCAAACAGG